GGGGGAUUAGCUCAGCUGGCUAGAGCGCUUCCAUGGCAUGGAAGAGGUCAUCGGUUCGACUCCGAUAUUCUCCACCU
rnacentral:tRNA from 3 species